AUGGGAAAACCAAAUUUCCUAUUAAACGAAGACAAUCCUCAAGAUGAACAAGAUAACGAUGUGCAAGAUGACAAUGAUCUUCAUUAUGAUCAAGAUGAAAAUGAUCUUGAAUAUGAUCAAGUUGACGAUGAUAUUCAAUAUGAUCAAAAUGACGAUUCUGAAUAUGAUCAUUUUCAAAAUGACGAUUCUCAUGAUCCUCAACUAUAA